rnacentral:lncRNA from 1 species
UAAAAAUUAAAGAUUGUUAGGAUCCCUUAAUGAUUAACUAGCCCAGAAGCCUCUGAAUGGAACCUAAUUCUGGCUACUCUCAUCUCAGCAAAGUAAUAGACUGGCUGGACCUAUUUCCAAAUUUGACAUUUGCCCAAGGAUAUAAUCAAUGGCAAAUUACAUAUAGAAAAAUCUCAGGCUCAAAGUAGGCAAGUUAUUUUUUCAAGGUCUCACAGAUGGUUAGUAAUUCUUGACUCAUUUCUCAUUUCUCUUUAAAAGAACUUCAUUUGUUCUUGGCUUACCCUCUAAUUACUGUCCUAUUUCUCUUCCCUUUUGCUGAAAAAUUCUGAUGAAUAGCUCUCUGUGUAUUUCUCAUAUUUACCUUUUCUUCUUUUUUCUCUCCCCUUGCCUCUUAUGUACACUUUAUAUACACUUAUUAGCUCUCUGCAAUCUCUUGCCCACCAUUCAAUGACCUAAUCUCCCCAUUUAGUAGUCUUCCUUUCCUGUCCUUGGUUUUCAUGACACUGCUGACUUCUGGUUCAUUUUCUACCCCUUCUAACUACUCCUUCUAUCUCUCCUAUCCUGAGUUCUUUCCUUUCAUGUUCUUAAUAUAAUCGUUCCAUAAAAUGUUUUGAUCCUCAAUCUAUAUGACACUCUUCCUCAGAGAACUGAUCCAUCCUUAGCUUCAACAAUCACCUUCUAUGUGCAUGAUUCCCUCCACCUUCCAUCCUUUUCUCAUCAUAGGUACAAUUACAUAUUGCAAUACAUAAUUACCUAUUUUCAGAUUACAAAACAUCUCCAAAACUGAACCCAGUAUACUCAAUUAACAGAUUGAGUGCCUACCACUUUGUAUAGUAGAAAAAAGACAGGAGAUGAAGUUCCAGCUGAUAUUUCUGAGCUGUGUGACUAUAAGCAAGUCACUUUCCAUUUUUAAAUUUCACUUUUUAUAUCUGUAAAAUGGAGAAUAAUGUCUGGUGACUCCAGCUAGGAGCUCAGUAUUAGAAAGGACUUCAAAGGUCACCUGAAUAGCUUACCUUGAAUAGCUUCCCCAAUAACAGAGCUCCGGCACUGCUUAAAGACUCCCUGAACCUAUACAAUAGGGCUUUAGUCAACCUUAGGAGCACUAGAGAAAUGUGAACAGCUGCAAGCUCAGCUGUCAUUAUUGUUCUAGAACAGAAUUCUUCAUGGCUUUCCUCUUCCACCGCUAGAAACUACUAUUGUCAAGAUAAUUCUUCCACAUCUUUAAGUUAUUAAUACAAACUAUUUUAAAAUGUUUUCUUUCUCAGAAAGCUUGCUGGUUUUCUAAUGAUUUCCCUCAUAAAGAUUCCCAAUCACCUGAGUUCAUUGCUUCUUUUCCUCUUUAUUUUAUGUCUUCCUCUCAUAUCUAAAUAGAUACUGAGUCCAGUUGAUUCUUUCUUCUGUCUGUUCUAUGUGUGUCCCUUCUCCAUUUCUGCUGCCACCAUCCUAGUCCCAGGCUUCAUCAUCUCAUAGAAUGUCAUAGCUGGAAGAGACAUGAGACUCCCUCUACUCCAGGGUUCUCAAUUUUGUUUGUGUUAUGGAUGCCUUGGGCCAUCCGCUGAAGCCUAGAGACCCCUCCCUUCUCAGAGUAAGUUUUUGAAUGCAUAAAAUAAAAAUGCAUAACAUCACUAAGCAAAGCAAUUAUAUUCAAAUGCAGUUAUCAAAAUAUUUUUUAAAAAGCAAAUGUACAGACCUCCAAUUAAGAACCCUUGUAUUAGAUCAAUUCUUUUUUUUCUCUGUCUCCCCUCCCUCUCUUUUUUCUUUCUCCCUUCCCCUCCCCCUUGUAUGUCUCUAGGUCUCUAUUUCUCUGUGUAUAUCUUUUUAUCUCUCUUUACUGUCUCAGACUGGGAGGCAGAAGGGUCUGAAUUUCUGAUUUCUUUCAUUUAGAGAAUUCCUUAGGUGAGGAAACUCCACCUACCAAAGCAGAUUUUCCUGUGUUCUCCAGCUCAGUUUACCUGGGUUCACAGACAGGUUAAGUGAAUUGCCUGAGGUGGUACAGUCAGUAGGAGUCAUGGGUAAGACUUGACCCCAGGUUUUCCCCUGUCUAUGAGGCCCACUCUCUAUCCAUUACACCAAACUGCCUCUUUCUUACCCUCUCAUGUUAAAAAAGAGGCAACUGAGAUCUAGAAACAUGAAGUAAUGUGUCAAGGGACACAAAUAACAAUGAUAAUAGAUAACCUUAAGGUCUGCAAAACACUUUACAUACAUUAUCUCAUUUGGCCCAUGCAAAAACCUUAGCAUUCCCUUUCAGUUGGGGGAAUUGAGACUGAAAUAAGUUAAGUGAUUUGCCCAGGGUCAUACUGUUACUACUAGCCUGAGGAAGGAUUUAAACUCAGGUCUUUAUGACUCCAAUUACAGCAAAUAUAUUUUAGAGAAUAAAUAGACUCAUUUUCCUGAAUUCAAAUCUGGCCUCAGACACUUAGUAGCUUUGUGACCCUAAGUAAGUCACUUCACUUUGUGUGCCUCAUUUUCUUCAUCGUAAAAUGAACUGGAGAAGAAAAAAGUAGUAAACUACUCCAAUAUCUCUGCCCAAGAAAAUCCCAAAUGGGGUCGUGAAGUAUCAGACACAUGAUUCAACAACAAAACAGUAUUCACUCUGCUAAAUCCAGGCUUUCUAACUCUCAUGUAAAAAAGGAGGUAGUUAAGGCUCAGAGAAAGAAAUGACUUUUUCAAACACAGGGGUAAUAAGUAACAGAGUACAUUUAAAUUCUUCCUAGAGUCAUUCAUGCCCCACAUCACAUCAAACAUGCAAAUCGUUCACUAGCUAGCUCAUCUCAGGCCAAUUUUCACUAGCUCCAUUUUCUAUUCCUUUCUUGUCAAUCCUGCAUUAAUAAUAAUUUACAUUUAUGGAAAGGGAUAGUAGAUAUGAUCCUACCCCAAGUGCCAAGAUGACCUGAUCUAAAUUCUGACACCUAUUGGCUAUGAGACCCAAGGGAAGGCCUUUAUUGCCCCCAGGCAACUUUCUUACACCAUAAAUUAUAGCCAGAUGUUGCAGUAGAUAGGCACAGGGCCUGGAGUCAGGAAAAUCUGAUUUCAAAUCCAUUCUCAGACAUUUACUAACUCUUUGUCCCAAGGACAGGUCACUUGUCUGCCUCAGUUUCCUCAUCUGUUAAAUGAGGACAAUUAUACCGCUUAACUUCCAGGUUUGGUGUGAAAACAAGAUAAUUGUAAAGUACUCUGUAAGCCCUAAAGCCUCUAUAAAUACUAGUCUUACAGUCUCCCCUCUUCACUUUCCCACCUUAUUUUGAGAGUUAUGUCCCCUUUUAGAUUGUAAGCUCAUUAGGGCAUGGACUAUCUUUUUAUUAAUUUUAUCCCAGCACUUAGCACAGGGUAAGGCACAUUAUAGGCACUAAAUGUAUAUUGAUUAGAUUGCAAAAGAGAUAUAAGUAGGCUUUGAGAGAAAAAAUUUCUAACCUGCAACUUACUUUGCUGCCAAAACCAUCUGAUUUUUUUUUUUAAUUCACCUAUUUAUAGAUAAGGAAACUAAGAUUCAGAAACAUAAAGUAAAUUGUCUAAUAUUAUAUAAUUAAACAGAGAGAAGGAAGAGAAUAAACAUUUAUUAAGCACUGUGCUAAAUAUGUCGCUUAACCUUAGUUUGCUUUAGUUUCCUCAGCUGUAAAUUGGGUAUAAUAAUAGCACUUACCUCCCAGGAUUGUUAUAGGAAUCAAAUAAGAAAAUAAUUGCAAAGAACUUAACACAGUUCUUAGCACAAUAGGCACUAAAUAAAGGCCUUCCUUUCUCUUUAUUAAGCCUUUUUAGGUUUUAUACAAAUAAACUGAAUGAAUUGGCAGUUUUAGAACCAAUCUUUUCUUAUAUGUCACAAUUUCAUUGGAACUAUGCUUUCAUCCUUUGGAAGUCCAUCAGCCUUUUUGAUUCUUUGUUCUUCAUUGAGCACUUGCCAAAUGUACUAGAGACUUUCUUUUGGUUCUUUCCCAUAGAUAACAGUGCAUUAUUAGUGAUGGGUAUAGGGUACAAUAAAGACUUUCCUCAUACCACGUCACCAAAAUGUUGAGGUUACCCACCAACUGAUGAGAUUAGUUAUCAUCAUUUAUCAGUUAUCACUGAGGAGUGAUACCUCAAAAGUAUAGUGAUGUUUGGGGCUGGUGAUGUGUAAUGUUUCAAAAAAUUUGACUUAGACAUCCUCUAUAUCAAAAGGCAAAGAUUUCAUAAUGCUGUUAAGAGCAAGCUAAAUCCAUAGAAAAGUUAGCAAGGAAAGGGGUCUUAGCAAUUAACAAGGGGAAAAAUAAAUUCCCUGGUAAAAUGAAGAAGAUAUCAUUAAAGCGUGGCAAGUUAAAUGGACUAAUCCCAGGAAGGAGUUAGCUAUAGUAAGGAGAAAGAUGCCAUGAGCCAGGAAUAUACUAUGGCAGGGUAAUCCUAAAAAGGAGUCAAACAGUUAGUGAAGUAUUAAUUUAUAGAGGAAAUAUGAUCUUGGGUGUUUGGCAUCAUAACUUGGCUUUCUGAUUGGAUACAGUAAAGGUAAGGUUUUCAGAGACCUCCAUCUGAGAUGGGACCAUAAUCAAAAGUCCAUUUAAGGCUGAGAUGAUCCUAUUAGUGCUCUUUUUUUUUUUUUUUUUUUUUUUUAACUUUGUGGAGAACUCACAGGUCAAGCACUCACAAGGUGAUCAGAAAAAGCAACACAAGGACACCCUCAACUUAAGGACACUUAACUUUAGAAUCAAUCUUUUGACAUGGGCCUUAUCAGAGAAGAUGCUAUACUCUAUGAGCAAAGCAGAAUUUAAUUAACCUAAAAUAAAUGCAAGAUGUGCAGAAUUAGAGAAGCUAUCCCAAAGGUUCAUAUGGGAUUUUUGUGUCCAACUUGUGGCAGAGGGUCACUUUGGUCGGAUCAGCCACUGUUGGCCACCUGUAAUUCGACUUUAACAUAAUGGUUUCAUUUUGAUCCUCUUCAAGAACAAAGAACAACAAACAGUGCUCCUUUCAGAUUGCCUUAGAGAGCUAGACUUCCAGUUUAUAUAUAGUAAUUCAGGCUCUUGAUCUCUCUUUUUAAAAUUUUAUUUAUUUUUUAUUAAAGCUUUUUAUUUACAAAACAUAUACAUGGGUAGUUUUUAAACAUUGAUCCUUGCAAAACUUUCUGUUCCAAAAUUUUCCCUCCACCCCCUUCCCUAGAUGCCAGGUAGUCCAAUACUUGUUAAAUAUGUUAAAAUAUAUGUUAAAUCCAAUAUAUGUAUACAUACUUAUACAGUUAUCUUGCUGCACAAGAAAAAUCAGAUCUAGAAAGAAAAAAAAACCUGAGAAGAAAAACAAAAUGCAAGCAAACAUCAAUAGAAAGCAUGAAAAUGCUAUGUUGUGGUUCACACUUAGUUCCCACAGGCCUCUUUCUGGGUGUAUAUGGCUUUCUUCAUCACUGAACAACUGGAACUAGUUUGAAUUCAACAAUGAGAUGAUUCAAACGAGGCUGUCUCUCAAUGCUUAUCUAAUUACCUAAGACCUCAUCACUAGAACUGUCCAUCUGUUUUUCCUUGUUCUUGCUACAUGAUUGACCCACUUCCUUUUCCAAUCAUACAUUUCCCAGGACAUCCUUUAUACUAUUCCUUGUAUAUAAGUUUUCAACUACAGUGUUAUCUGCUACAAUCCACUUAUUGCCAUUACUCUUAGUCUUUCCAUUGUUGUUACCCAUAUUAAAAGGGAGGACUACUCUCAGCCAUUUGUUCAACAAAAUCAGUUCACCUUUAAUUGCCUUAGUUUUCUCAUCUGUACAAGGGAUUAUAAUGUUGUUACCAGCAGCAAAGGAGAAAGUAUGUAAAAUUUAUAAAUCCCUAAAUAAAUGGAGAUUAUUAUCUUAGGGGAAAAAAAGUACUGGGGUCAAGGAGUGGUUGCUGAUAAUCAACACUUAGCAAAAUGCCUGGCACAUAGGUUUAAUGACUGACUAAUCCUUUGUGUUUUUAGAAGAGAGAUGAUGUAGUAUAAUGGAAAGAGAGCACUUUCAUUUGAGUACUUAGUACCCCAUGCCCAGGAAGGAGCAAGUCAUUUAAUGUUUACAACCUGACUUUCUCAUCUGUAACAUGGGGUAACAAUACUUCUAUUAAAGAAUUUGGAACAAAGUUGGUGCCUCUUGGUUUGAGGAAUAGCUAAACACACCAUGAUACCAAUGUAGUAGAAUAUUAAUGUAUUCCACUAUAAGAAUUAAUAUAUUCCCACUAUAAGAAAUGACAAGUGGGAAGAGUCUAGAAAAAAUAUGGGAAGAUGCUAAUGCCUCUGAUACAGAGUAAACAGAAACAAGAAAACAAUGUACACUGUGACUAUUGUCUGAUACUUUCAGUUGUGUCCUGGGGAAGUGGAUAGAAUAGUGAGCCUGAAAUCAGAAAGAUUCAUCUUCUUAAAUUCAGUUCUACCCUCAAACACUUCCUGGCUGUGUGAUUCUGGCAAGUCAUUUAAUCUUGUUUGCUUCAGUUUUCUUGUCUGUAAAAAUUAGUUGGAGAAGGAAACAACAAACCACUCCAGUAUCUUUGCCAAGAAAACCCCAAAUGGGGAUCAAAACAGUCAGACACAGUUGAAACGAGUGAACAACAAACUUCCUGAUUCCAAGCCAGCAUGUUCUAUCCACUGGGCCACCUAACUGCCCUGACUCUAUAUUAAUAUUAACAAUAUUAAAUAAGAAGAAAAUAAAGCAAAGUUUGGACAUUGUAUAAUUGCAACAACCAAGUUUGCUCUCAGAAAAAAAAAAUGGAAAAAAUGCACCUUCCUUUAUUGCAGAGAGAUAGGAGUGUGAGGAAAGGGAGGUGGGAAAAGGAAAGAGGGGGAAGGCAGAAUAUGUAUAUAUAUUGUCAUAUACCAUUGGUGUGAUAACUAGAUUUGUUGAACUUUUUUCUUUUUCUAGAUAAAAAGAGGGGGCAUGUUCAGAAAUGAACCAUGUAAAAAAUAAAAGGCAUCAAUAAAAACAAAAAUACUUUGUACUAUCUAUCUCACAGUAGUGUUUUGAAGUAAGCAUUUUGUGAAGUGCCAAAUUGAUGUGAACAACUUUAUUAAUGAUUUAAAAACAAAACAAAAUAUGGAAGCAACAUAGUGUAGUAGAGAAUCAGUCUUGGAGUUGGGAGUUGAGUUCAAGUCCUGCCUCUAUCACAUAUAGGUUGUGUGGUCCUGGGUAAAUAUCUCAACCUUUCAGUGCCCUAAGCAACAUUCUAAGGAUAUAAGAGCUCAAAUGUUGUCUCAGAUACUUACUAGCUAUGUGACCCUGGGCAUAUUACUUAACCCUAUUUGCCUCAGUUUCCUCUUCUGUAAAAUGAGCUGGAGAAGAAAAUAGCAAAUCAUUUGAGUAUCUCUGCCAAGAAAACCCCAAAUGGAAUCAUAACAAGUUGGAUAUGACUGAAAACGACUCAACCAACAUAUAAAUGGCAUUAAAGGUUCAAUCCUUAUUCGUAUCCCAAUAAGAACAAGAG